GAUGAACGCUGGCGGCGUGCCUAAUACAUGCAAGUCGAGCGAACAGAUGAGGAGCUUGCUCCUCUGACGUUAGCGGCGGACGGGUGAGUAACACGUGGAUAACCUACCUAUAAGACUGGGAUAACUUCGGGAAACCGGAGCUAAUACCGGAUAAUAUAUUGAACCGCAUGGUUCAAUAGUGAAAGACGGUUUUGCUGUCACUUAUAGAUGGAUCCGCGCCGCAUUAGCUAGUUGGUAAGGUAACGGCUUACCAAGGCAACGAUGCGUAGCCGACCUGAGAGGGUGAUCGGCCACACUGGAACUGAGACACGGUCCAGACUCCUACGGGAGGCAGCAGUAGGGAAUCUUCCGCAAUGGGCGAAAGCCUGACGGAGCAACGCCGCGUGAGUGAUGAAGGUCUUCGGAUCGUAAAACUCUGUUAUUAGGGAAGAACAAAUGUGUAAGUAACUAUGCACGUCUUGACGGUACCUAAUCAGGAAGCCACGGCUAACUACGUG
rnacentral:rRNA from 1 species